CAUAAGAUUCAAAUUUGUAGAGAGAAAAAGAAAGAGAAAAUAUAUUAUUUUCUUGUUGUCCAAAAUUCAAGAAUUAAUUUCUGAAUUAAUUGAAAGAAGGUGUCCACACACCGGUGUAGUCUUUGCGUUGGAGAAUACCAUAGAACGCUUGAAAGCUUGAAACACCAAGAUUUUUGCAAUUAAAGGAGACGGAAGUUCGCAGAUCAGAGUUAAUUCAAGAUUGAUCAUUGAAUUUAGGUAAAAGAUUUGAAUCCUUUAAUUUUGUUAUAACACACACGUGAACAUCUAGACAAUCUUGUUUAUUAAAUUAAAGAAACUUUUAAUUUCUGAUUAAUUCCGCUUUCGCAUUCCAACACACCUUUCCCCCUUUCCAAACACCCUUUAGGUGACAGCACCUCAAUAAAGACAUUUUUGUUUUUCUCACAGCACAUGAAUUGAAUGUGACAGGACAUUUAGCUCUUUGGCAAGUAUUUCUGAAGUGUUAUUCAAUUAUUUUUUCCGCUGUGGAUUAAAGGAUUUCACCAUUUCCCUGAUGGAGACUCGAACAAACUUUUUAAGAAGGUUUUGUUCUUACCACUUGACCUAAGUCUUGAUCUUAACCCUUGUGUCAAUUUACUUGACUUUAGAUGGUUAGUCUCAAGUAGGGCCCAUUCGAAGAUGUAAUUAUUAAUAAAUGAGUUAUAAU
rnacentral:lncRNA from 1 species